GUGCUUGCUUCGGCAGCACAUAUACUAAAAUUAGAACAAUACAGAGAAGAUUAACAUGGCCCCAGCGCAAAGAGAGACCAGGACUUAAGAGGCAGAGACAGGAGCAUCGCUGUGUU
ensembl:snRNA Gm26226 U6 spliceosomal RNA